rnacentral:rRNA from 1 species
AUUGCACGCUGGCGGCAGGCCUAACACAUGCAAGUCGAGCGGAGCGGCGGACGGGUGAGUAAUGCCUAGGAAUCUGCCUGGUAGUGGGGGCUAACGUCAGGAAACGGGCGCUAAUACCGCAUACUAUCAGAUGAGACUAGGAUGGAUUAGCUAGUUGGUGGGGUAAAGGCCUACCAAGGCGACGAUCCGUAACUGGUCUGCUAGGAUGAUCAGUCACACUGGAAAUGAUACACGGUCCAGACUCCUACGUGAGGCAGCGGUGGGGAAUAUUGGACAAUGGGCGAAAGCCUGAUCCAGCCAUGCCGCGUGUGUGAGGAAGGGCUUCGGAUUGUAAAGCACUGUAAGUAGGGAGGCGGUACCAACAGAAUAAGCACCGGCUAACUACGUGCCAGCAGCCGCGGUAAUAC